GAUGAACGCUAGCGACAGGCUUAACACAUGCAAGUCGAGGGGCAGCACGGGAGUAGCAAUACAACUGGUGGCGACCGGCGCACGGGUGAGUAACGCGUAUGCAACCUACCUAUCAGAGGGGAAUAACCCGGCGAAAGUCGGACUAAUACCGCAUAAAACAGGGGCACCGCAUGGUGAUAUUUGUUAAAGAAAUUCGCUGAUAGAUGGGCAUGCGUUCCAUUAGGUAGUUGGUGAGGUAACGGCUCACCAAGCCGACGAUGGAUAGGGGAACUGAGAGGUUGGUCCCCCACACUGGUACUGAGACACGGACCAGACUCCUACGGGAGGCAGCAGUGAGGAAUAUUGGUCAAUGGGCGAGAGCCUGAACCAGCCAAGUCGCGUGAAGGAAGAAGGAUCUAUGGUUCGUAAACUUCUUUUGCAGGGGAAUAAAGUGCGGGACGUGUCCUGUUUUGUAUGUACCCUGAGAAUAAGGAUCGGCUAACUCCGUGCCAGCAGCCGCGGU
rnacentral:rRNA from 1 species